rnacentral:rRNA from 1 species
UACGUAGGGGGCAAGCGUUGUCCGGAUUUAUUGGGCGUAAAGAGCGUGUAGGCGGCUUUACAGGUCCGUUGUGAAAACUCGAGGCUCAACCUCGAGACGCCGGUGGAAACCGUAAAGCUAGAGUCCGGAAGAGGAGAGUGGAAUUCCUGGUGUAGCGGUGAAAUGCGCAGAUAUCAGGAAGAACACCCGUGGCGAAGGCGGCUCUCUGGGACGGUACUGACGGCUGAGACGCGAAAGCGUGGGGAGCGAACAGGG